UGGGGAAUAUUGCACAAUGGGCGGAAGCCUGAUGCAGCGACGCCGCGUGGGGGAUGAAGGCCUUCGGGUUGUAAACUCCUUUCGACAGGGACGAAGCUUUUGUGACGGUACCUGUAUAAGAAGCACCGGCUAACUACGUGCCAGCAGCCGCGGUAAUACGUAGGGUGCGAGCGUUGUCCGGAAUUACUGGGCGUAAAGAGCUCGUAGGUGGUUUGUCGCGUCGUCUGUGAAAUUCCGGGGCUUAACUCCGGGCGUGCAGGCGAUACGGGCUGACUUGAGAGCUGUAGGGGAGACUGGAAUUCCUGGUGUAGCGGGGAAAUGCGGAGAUAUCAGGAGGAACACCGAGGGGGAAGGCAGGUCUCUGGGCAGUAACUGACGCUGGGGAGCGAAAGCAUGGGUAGCGAACAGG
rnacentral:rRNA from 1 species